UGGGGAAUAUUGCACAAUGGGGGGAACCCUGAUGCAGCGACGCCGCGUGAGGGAAGAAGGUUUUCGGAUUGUAAACCUCUGUCCUUGGUGACGAUAAUGACGGUAGCCAAGGAGGAAGCCACGGCUAACUACGUGCC
rnacentral:rRNA from 1 species